GGCCUAACACAUGCAAGUCGAACGGGUCCUUCGGGACUAGUGGCGGACGGGUGAGUAACGCGUGGGAACAUACCCCUUUCUACGGAAUAGCCUCGGGAAACUGGGAGUAAUACCGUAUACGUCCUUCGGGAGAAAGAUUUAUCGGUGAGGGAUUGGCCCGCGUUGGAUUAGGUAGUUGGUGGGGUAAUGGCCUACCAAGCCGACGAUCCAUAGCUGGUUUGAGAGGAUGAUCAGCCACACUGGGACUGAGACACGGCCCAGACUCCUACGGGAGGCAGCAGUGGGGAAUCUUAGACAAUGGGGGAAACCCUGAUCUAGCCAUGCCGCGUGAUCGAUGAGGGCCUUAGGGUUGUAAAGAUC
rnacentral:rRNA from 1 species